rnacentral:rRNA from 1 species
CAGUCGCCGCGGGAAUACGUAGGGUGCAAGCGUUAAUCGGAAUUAUUGGGCGUAAAGCGAGUGCAGACGGUUACUUAAGCCAGAUGUGAAAUCCCCAAGCUUAACUUGGGACGUGCAUUUGAAACUGGGUGACUAGAGUGUGUCAGAGGGAGGUAGAAUUCCACAUGUAGCGGUGGAAUGCGUAGAGAUGUGGAGGAAUACCGAUGGCGAAGGCGGCCCCCUGGACGAAGACUGACGCUCAGGUGCGAAAGCGUGGGGAGCAAACAGGAUUAGAUACCCCCGUAGUCCCUGUCUCUUAUAC